GAGAGUGCAGUGAGGCAGCGGCCACCGGGAGCCAGACCACCUCACACCUCAGCCUGGGCCUCCCGGGACCAUUCCGCCCUCCAUGCCCCUUGAUCUUGGCACCACAACUGAGAAUGUGUUUCUCUCUCAGCCCCGCCAGCCUCGGGGAAGCCCGGAUGCGCCUGAGGGGAGCCUCCUUGCCGUCCACCUCCUGGCUCUGCUCGCCCGGCCUGGCAGGGGAGAGAAUGAACGCAGACCGCCUCUACCACAAAUUACGCUGUCGAGUUUCCCACAUUUGGGGAAAUUGCAGCACGUGCGGAGUGCAGUGGACAAGCCUCACUCUGGGAAAACCGCUUUUGUGAUCAAUGUAUCUCCCCUGCCGGGUAAGUGUGGUCACUAUUACUUAAACAUGUUUAUUUGCCAUUUA